rnacentral:rRNA from 1 species
GACGAACGCUGGCGGCGUGCUUAACACAUGCAAGUCGAACGAUGAACCCGGAGCUUGCUCCGGUGGAUUAGUGGCGAACGGGUGAGUAACACGUGAGUAACCUGCCCUUGACUCUGGGAUAACUGCGGGAAACUGUAGCUAAUACCGGAUACGACCCUCGGCGGCAUCGCCAGGGGGUGGAAAGAAUUUCGGUCAAGGAUGGACUCGCGGCCUAUCGGCUAGUUGGUGAGGUAACGGCUCACCAAGGCGACGACGGGUAGCCGGCCUGAGAGGGUGACCGGCCACACUGGGACUGAGAUACGGCCCAGACUCCUACGGGAGGCGGCAGUGGGGAAUAUUGCACAAUGGGCGCAAGCCUGAUGCAGCGACGCCGCGUGAGGGAUGACGGCCUUCGGGUUGUAAACCUCUUUCAGCACCGACGAAGCGCAAGUGACGGUAGGCGCAGAAGAAGGACCGGCCAACUACGUGCCAGCCGCCGCUGUAA